rnacentral:rRNA from 1 species
UAGCGGCGGACGGGUGAGUAACGCGUGAGCAAUCUGUCCUUCACAGGGGGAUAACACUUGGAAACAGGUGCUAAUACCGCAUAAGACCACAGAGUCACAUGACAUAGGGGUCAAAGGAGAAAUUCGGUGAAGGGUGAGCUCGCGUCCCAUUAGAUAGUUGGUGAGGUAACGGCCCACCAAGUCAACGAUGGGUAGCCGACCUGAGAGGGUGAUCGGCCACACUGGGACUGAGACACGGCCCAGACUCCUACGGGAGGCAGCAGUGGGGAAUAUUGGGCAAUGGGCGCAAGCCUGACCCAGCAACGCCGCGUGAGGGAAGAAGGUUUUCGGAUUGUAAACCUCUGUCCUUAGGGAAGAAGGAAGUGACGGUACCUAAGGAGGAAGCCCCGGCUAACUACGUGCCAGCAGCCGCGGUAAUACGUAGGGGGCAAGCGUUGUCCGGAAUGACUGGGCGUAAAGGGCGUGUAGGCGGCUGCUUAAGUCUGAUGUGAAAUACCCAUUUUUAAGGUGGGUCGUGCGUUGGAAACUGAGUAGCUUGAGUGCGGAAGAGGUAAGUGGAAUUCCCGGUGUAGCGGUGAAAUGCGUAGAGAUCGGGAGGAACACCAGUGGCGAAGGCGACUUACUGG